UUGAUCAAGCUACAAAGAGCGCAUCAUGGAUGCCUUGGUGCCAAUAGGCGAUGAAGGACGUGGCAAGCUGCGAUAAGUCACGGAGAGCGGCAAACACGCUUUGACCCGUGAAUUUCCGAAUGGGGUAACCUGAGUGGGAUAACACCUGCUCGAGCUUCUGUGAAUUCAUAGCAGAAGCAUCGUGACACCCGGUGAAGUGAAACAUCUCAGUAACCGGAGGAACAGAAAUCGAAAGAGAUUCCGUCAGUAGUGGCGAGCGAAAGCGGAACAGGCUAAACCUGCCGAUUUAUCGGUAGGGGUUGUAGGAGCCCGACGUGGUAGUGCAAAGGUUAGGUGAAGCUUCUGGAAAGCUGCGCCAUAGAGGGUGAAAGGCCCGUAACCGAAAACCAAAGCACGCCUAGGGAUUUCCUGAGUAAUACGAUGCACGUGAAACUUCGUAUGAAUCUGCGCCGACCACGGCGUAAGCCUAAAUACUCAUUGGCGACCGAUAGUGAACAAGUACCGCGAGGGAAAGGUGAAAAGAACCGCUGCGAGCGGAGUGAAAUAGUACCUGAAAUGAUGUGCUUACAAGGUGUCAAAGCUGGCGCAAGCUGGUGAUGGCGUGCCUUUUGCUUAAUGAGUCUGCGAGUUACUAUCAGUGGCAAGCCUA
rnacentral:rRNA from 1 species